UACGGAGGGGGCUAGCGUUGUUCGGAAUUACUGGGCGUAAAGCGCACGUAGGCGGCUUUGCAAGUCAGAGGUGAAAGCCCGGGGCUCAACCCCGGAAUUGCCUUUGAGACUGCAUCGCUAGAAUUGUGGAGAGGUAAGUGGAAUUCCGAGUGUAGAGGUGAAAUUCGUAGAUAUUCGGAAGAACACCAGUGGCGAAGGCGACUUACUGGACACAUAUUGACGCUGAGGUGCGAAAAGCGUGGGGAGCAAACAGG
rnacentral:rRNA from 1 species